rnacentral:rRNA from 1 species
GUAGGGGUCCAAGCGUUAAUCGGGAAUUACUGGGGCGUAAAGCGUGCGCAGGCGGUUGUGCAAGACCGAUGUGAAAUCCCCGGGCUUAACCUGGGAAUUGCAUUGGUGACUGCACGGCUAGAGCGUGUCAGAGGGGGGGUAGAAUUCCACGUGUAGCAGUGAAAUGCGUAGAGAUGUGGAGGAAUACCGAUGGCGAAGGCAGCCCCCUGGGAUAACACUGACGCUCAUGCACGAAAGCGUGGGGAGCAAACAGGAUUAGAUACCCUGGUAGUCCACGCCCUAAACGAUGUCAACUAGUUGUUGGGGAUUCAUUUCCUUAGUAACGUAGCUAACGCGUGAAGUUGACCGCCUGGGGAGUACGGUCGCAAAGAUUA